rnacentral:misc_RNA from 1 species
AAGUAAACACUUUUUUUAAUUGCAGCAUUACAUUAACAAGCUUAGAAGGAAAUGAAGCCCAAGCCUAGCAACAUAUAAGAAGCCCAAACCCUAAGAGAACAAAAGAUCAAACGACUAGGAGCCUUGACUUGCGGCAGCCGAAACUCACUGAAAGGCGUAAAACUAAAGUUUCCUCAGCAAAUAAGAAACUUGCCUGCAAACCAAAAAAAUCACUGCCUAUAAACAUCGAACCGAACAAAUCGCUGAAGCUUACGACACGUUAGUUAGAUACCAACAUCAACUGCAGCAAUCCCAACGGGUGGGGGUAGAGAUCAUGACCUCUCAAUCCCGUAUAGCCUUGAGGAGGAGGGCAGCAUCCAUUGAAUGAGCCUAGCUUAACAACCACAAAUACCUACCAACACACAUGCAAAUAAUCCUCCAAGAGGAUCAAGGCCACCAUCCACAAGUGGUACAACUCCGACAAACCAAUGUCACUGCAUAGAUCAAUUAAAAGUUCUCUCUCUUUGCUCCAGAUCUGCUGCAGAAACCAAAACCAAGCAAAACCCUAUUUACUCCCAAACCUAGAUGGGGGCGAGCGACUCACACUCUAGAUUGGGACGAGCGACGAGUAGGGAAAGCUAACUAAUCGAGAAUAGAAAAUGCUAUUGAUGAGUAGUGUAGUCGGAGGUCUCAAAUUUGACCUCCCAAUUGUAUUAAAAAAUAAAUAAACAAACAAAUAAAAACCAUCUUCCCAUUGAAGUAAUGCACAAAUUAGCCAUCCAAUGAUCCCAUUUGAUGUCUAUUUAUGAUAAAAGAUACAACAGAACUAGAAUUUAAACAGCAGAUGAUGUUUAUGAAGGUGACAGUCACAGAAAUGCAAAAUUAUUGCUUAAAUUUCAGCUUGCAGCAGAUCUUCUACGUUGCAAAUCAUUAGCCCUAUGCUUUGGCAAACUAUCAGAAUCCAUAUCCGAAAAGGAUGAAUAUGAUGCAUAUACUUUCUUCUGUGAUCCAAAACAAGUCCUGUAGUUCCUGCAAGCAUGCUUCGCUGCUUUCCAACAGAUCUUGCACGGUAGUUUGAUGCAGCACAAAACAAUGCAAAGAGGACAAGAAACACAGAAUAAACAAGCACUGCAAGUAUACUCUACAGUUUUAUAGUAGCAGUGUGUGUCUUGCUCCUUAGACAAAGAGGAAGAACAGGAAUUGGAGCAAGGCCUUGCCUCCAUUCUGUCAUAUCUCUUGUCGAAGAAAUUUAUCUUUGCUUCAUCUCAAAGGAUUAAGAGUUGAAACCUUCUGCUCUCCAGUAUUAAUGCUGGGAUAACUUCAAAAGGGGAUUUGACGGGCUGUGUCUUUUUCAAGAAAUUACAAGGUUUCAAUAUUAACAAAUUCAGGAUGCUGUAGUUAUGGCGAUGAACACUGCAGAUCCAUCUUCCUGAGAAAACUUUGAAGGAUUAGUUUUGUAGACCUUAGCAACUAGCUUUCAUCUUUACUCUCCUUUUGGACCUCUUUCCGACGACUUUUCAUCAACUUGGAACCUGAGAAGGAAUAUGCCUUGGAAGUCUUCUGCUAGAAUUUUUAGUACCG